CAUCUCUCUCCCAUAUCUUCCCUCUCGCUCUGCCUCUCUGUAGGCAAGGCAUUUGUUCCCAAGCAGCGGCCCAUCGAGUCUCGUCAGGAAGAAGUAACGACCCUUGACCCGGAACUAGAAGAGGCCCUGUCCAGUGCUACCGACACUGAACUCUGUGACCUGGCAGCCAUCCUAGGUGUCCAUACCUGGUGACCAGCACCCAGAGCUACGAUGGAACCAGCAGUAAAGACGGAGGAUACAACAACGUGGUGAAGGGGGAGAAGAUGAACCCAGUGUUUGAUGAGCCUCCCAACCCCACUAACGUAGACGACACUCUGCAGAGGAUCAAAAACAACGACGCUGCGCUGACGGAGGUUAACCUCAACAACAUCAAGAACAUUCCCAUUCCCACGCUGAAGGAGUUUGCCAAGGCCAUGGAGAGGAACACACACGUCAAGAAGUUCAGCCUCGCCGCCACACGGAGCAACGACCCCAUCGCUGUGGUGCAGAACUGUCUGUCUGUCCUGUCUGUCUGUCUGAGGUCUGUCUGUCUGGUCUGUCUGGAGUCUCAACUGUCUGUCAUCACCAGCGCUGGUGCUGCUGCUCUGUGGACUCCUGUCAGAGACAACGACACACUGACUGAGAUCAAGAUAGACAACCAGAGGCAGCAGCUGGGGACUUCAGUAGAGAUGGAGAUGGCUAAGAUGCUGGAGGACAACAACAGCAUAGUGAAGUUUGGCUACCACUUCUGUCAGCAAGGCCCACGGGCUAGAGCUGCUGCUGCUAUCACCAAGAACAAUGACCUGAUCCGCAAGAGGCGAGUGGAGGGGACCAGUAAGGAGGCGGAGCCUGUCAUGUCUCCCAGACCUGUCCCGUCGUCUCAUCUCGCCGUAUGGAAUACAUUUUCAGCCAAUCCCCUGGUCUCAUCUCACCGUGGACGUUAAGUCUUGUGCCAAAACCCGGAGCAAGGCGCCCUCAACCAGACAGGGACUGUGAGUCCCAAAUGGCACCCUUGUUCCCUACGUAGUGCACUACUUUUGAUCAGAGCCCUAGGGGCUGUGAUCGUGCCCUAUAGAGAAUAGGGUUCCAUUUGAGACGCAGGUAACAUCAUCUAUCUGAGGAGAAGAGAAAUAACUGGAAUAGCCCUCUCUAGUACCUACAUAUCUAUACACACGUUGUUGUUGUUAUUAUUAUUAUUAUUGUUUAUUAUACUAUUGUUAGAACUACAGCUGUACAUCUUAUUGUUUAGUUUUUUCAGUUCAUUUCAGGCGCUUUCUUUUUUGAAUUUUUCUCUGAAUGAUUUAUUUUCUUUCUUUUUUUUACUGUGUUUAGAGCAACAUGAACAGUACUGUAAUCUAACCAAGUAACCAUGGUUUUAAACAUACUAUCCUAACCUCUGACCUCUAACCCUACAGUGGUAUAGGGCCCUGACCUCCAACCCCUACAGUGGUACGGGACAGGCCUCCCUAGCUAGACUGCUGUAUCUCUUGGUUCUGAUCAGUGUUUCCUACACAGGGGGAAGAGAGAGGUUGAUGUGAUGGUAGGGCCGUCUGUUUAACCUCCUGGGGUGGAUGUGGUGGGUUGUCCUGGUAGGGCUGUCUGUUUAACCUCCUGGGGUGGAUGUGGUGGGUUGUCCUGGUAGGGCCGUCUGUUAACCUCCUGGGGUGGAUGUGGUGGGUUGUCCUGGUAGGGCCGUCUGUUAACCUCCUGGGGUGGAUGUGGUGGGUUGUCCUGGUAGGGCUGUCUGUUAACCUCCUGGGGUGGAUGUGGUGGGUUGUCCUGGUAGGGCUGUCUGUUAACCUCCUGGGGUGGAUGUGGUGGGUUGUCCUGGUAGGGCCGUCUGUUAACCUCCUGGGGUGGAUGUGGUGGGUUGUCCUGGUAGGGCUGUCUGUUAACCUCCUGGGGUGGAUGUGGUGGGUUGUCCUGGUAGGGCCGUCUGUUAACCUCCUGGGGUGGAUGUGGUGGGUUGUCCUGGUAGGGCCGUCUGUUAACCUCCUGGGGUGGAUGUGGUGGGUUGUCCUGGUAGGGCCGUCUGUUAACCUCCUGGGGUGGAUGUGGUGGGUUGUCCUGGUAGGGCCGUCUGUUAACCUCCUGGGGUGGAUGUGGUGGGUUGUCCUGGUAGGGCUGUCUGUUAACCUCCUGGGGUGGAUGUGGUGGGUUGUCCUGGUAGGGCCAUCUGUUAUCCUCCUGGGGUGGAUGUGGUGGGUUGUCCUGGUAGGGCCGUCUGUUAACCUCCUGGGGUGGAUGUGGUGGGUUGUCCUGGUAGGGCCGUCUGUUUAACCUCCUGGGGUGGAUGUGGUGGGUUGUCCUGGUAGGGCCGUCUGUUAACCUCCUGGGGUGGAUGUGGUGGGUUGUCCUGGUAGGGCUGUCUGUUAACCUCCUGGGGUGGAUGUGGUGGGUUGUCCUGGUAGGGCCGUCUGUUAACCUCCUGGGGUGGAUGUGAUGGGUUGUCCUGGUAGGGCUGUCUGUUAACCUCCUGGGGUGGAUGUGGUGGGUUGUCCUGGUAGGGCUGUCUGUUAACCUCCUGGGGUGGAUGUGGUGGGUUGUCCUGGUAGGGCUGUCUGUUUAACCUCCUGGGGUGGAUGUGGUGGGUUGUCCUGGUAGGGCUGUCUGUUAACCUCCUGGGGUGGAUGUGGUGGGUUGUCCUGGUAGGGCUGUCUGUUAACCUCCUGGGGUGGAUGUGGUGGGUUGGUGCAGCUGUUGUGUACUCUGAGGAGUGGAUGAGAACAGCUGCCUCUCUCUGAAAAAGUCUCAAGCCCUGAAGAACGUUUAUAGAUGUCUUAAUACUGUCGUAAAGAAUUUAAAGUCUUAAAGAAUUAAAGUCUUACCAUUGAUAAUACGGUGGUUCUCUUUCAAUCUCAACAGUUUUUUAAAAAUAGAUUCAGAUUUAAUGGGUUUAUUUUAUUUCCCUCUUUAUGUCACUGGGAAACGUAUGUGGAUGUUAAUUUAACCAAGUAACCAUGACGAUGAAGCAUUGACCUGAUCUUCUGCUCUCCUGUUAUUGGUCUGGCGUGAACGUCAGCUCAACCAAUGAGCUUCUCCGAUACUGAACCAUGCCAAAGACUAAUAUGCAGCGCUCACAUACAUCCUGGAGGAGAUGCAACUCCAUGUCACUAUAUUCUCUUUAGAUUCCACAUAUCCUGUCAGAGAGUAGGUUAGAUCAGACAGAAAACAACAUCUGGGUUCAUUACACUUGUUUUUUUAUUUGAUGUGCACAGUGUCAUGUACAAUGUCGUCAUUUUGAUGUGCACUGUGUUCCUUCUCUCUGCUGGGCUGUUGUUGCUUAUGGCGACGGAACAAGCAAAGAUGGCCGUCAGUGGGGCAGUGUCUGUGUGAAGGAAUGUCAUGGUAAUGAGAGAGACGCAGGAGAGAGCAACACACCACACACUGAGAGGUCUGGAACCGGCUCCUGGAACCGGCUCCUAGAACCGGCUCCUAGCCCUGGCUCCUAGAACCGGCUCCUAGCCCUGGCUCCUAGAACCGGCUCCUAGAACCGGCUCCUAGCCCUGGCUCCUAGAACCGGCUCCUGGAACCGGCUCCUAGCCCUGGCUCCUAGAACCGGCUCCUAGCCCUGGCUCCUAGAACCGGCUCCUGGAACCGGCUCCUAGCCCUGGCUCCUAGCCCUGGCUCCUAGAACCGGCUCCUAGAACCGGCUCCUAGAACCGGCUCCUGGAACCGGCUCCUAGCCCUGGCUCCUAGAACCAGCUCCUAGCCCUGGCAUGCUACUCACUAUGGAAGAAAACAACAUGCUGUGUUAAACUCAGCUGGAUUCUCCUGAGAACACUAGCCUGCUGUAAAACAGACAAAAUACAGCCUGAUGUUGACACUCACCAUUUUAUAGAGAAUUACAAACUGGGUGGUUCAAGCCCUGAAUGCUGAUUGGCUGACAGCUGUGGUACAUCAGACCGUAUACCACGGGUAUGACAAAACAUUUGAAUUUUUACUGCUCUAAUUACAUUGGUAACCAGUUUCUAAUAGCAAUAAGGCACCUUGGGGGUUUAUAUGGCAAAUAUACCACGGCUAAGGGCUGUGUCAAGGCACUCCACACUGCGUCGUGCCUAAUAACAACCCUUAGCUGUGGUAUAUUGGCACUACAGGGGGAUGUGCCUUAUUGCUUAAUUACAGGCUGGCCUCCUGGACUCACAUGAAUCCUACUGGACCAAAACUGCUGAAUCUGUGUCCAGGAAACUGGUCCUGUGUGUUGUUAAUGUGUUAAUCUGGAGUAGGAAGUCCUCGUGUUGAGAUCAUGUGGUUUGUCUGGACCAAUACGAUGCUCAUGUUUUAGUUUCUUAAUCACAUCUGGUGAUUAAGUUAGUCAGCCUUGAUUCUGUGGGUGGGAUAGAGCGAUGUGAUUGGCUGAUUAAGGUUAUUUGGAGUGAUGCUGUCUGCUUAACUAUAAUGUCUGAAUCCCAAAUGGUUCCCUGUUCCUUAUAUGGUGUGCUUCCUGUUGACCAGGGCCCAUAGGGUGUAACCCAGGCUAUAGUAACCUGGCUCUGUGCUCUGCUCUGUCCAUAAUCUGAUCUUAAUCAUGUAUAUUGUUAUAGUUGACCAUCUCAUAAUGUUUAACCCUCACACACAUUCCACACCGUCACACACACACCUGUGUGUAUCAAGUAAAUGUAAAGGUUAUUUUCGAUUUUUUUUGUUUUUGUUGUUGAAUGGUGAAGCUCCAUGUCUGAGACUAAAGAGUAGAGGAAGUAGGAAGCUGUACUGUUAAUAUUAACCACCAAGCCUGGUAGAAAGGCCAUGUCAACUAUAAUACGUCCUCAACCAAUAAAUGUUUUUACAUACGCUGUC